rnacentral:rRNA from 1 species
GACGUAGGGCGCGAGCGUUGUCCGGAUUUAUUGGGCGUAAAGAGCUCGUAGGCGGCUUGUCGCGUCGACUGUGAAAACCCGCAGCUCAACUGUGGGCUUGCAGCUGAUACGGGCAGGCUUGAGUUCGGUAGGGGAGACUGGAAUUCCUGGUGUAGCGGUGAAAUGCGCAGAUAUCAGGAGGAACACCGGUGGCGAAGGCGGGUCUCUGGACAGUUCCUGACGCUGAGGCACGAAGGCCAGGGGAGCAAACGGG